GGCUGAGGCUACUGGGCUUGUUUAGUUUGGAGAAGAGAAGGCUCAGGGGAGACCUUAUUGCGCUCUACAGCUGCCUGAGAGGAAGGUGUGGGGUGCUGGGGGUCAGCCUCUUCUCACAGGUAACUAGUGAUAGGACUAGAGGGAAUGGCUUCAACUUACGCCAGGGGAGGUUUAGGUUAGAAAUGAGGAGACAUUUCUUCUCAG